UGGAUCUUCUCUCCUCCUCCUCCUCCCUACGGCUGCGGGACACGGUGAUAUACCGUAGGAACCAGGCCUGCAGUAAUAGACAUGGUUUUACACCACUGAAUUUGUGUAAUGUAAAUAAUUGAAUGAAUGAAUUAGCUGCAUUUUAAAUAAAAUUUUAAAUGCAGCAGUAAAUAUAUCUACUAUCAACAUCCAAAUUGCUUGAAGAAUUGUGGUUUUGAAUAAUUGAUGGAUUUGUGCUUAAUGCACAGUACUUGGAGCUUUUUAAUUGAUGAAGAGAUGGAUGCUAUGACCUCUUAGAUUUGUUUAUCUGGGCAAAAUAUAAAAUACUGCUUUAAAAAUGGAGCAGUAGCAAUGGCUUAAGUUCAUGUUAGCAGUCCUUGUAACUGUGAAAAUUAUAGGGAGUUGAGAAACUCUGAAGUUUACAGCCUUUAUGGCUAUUCAUUGUAAGGAUAUUUGGAAAUGUUUGUUUAAAACCAGGAAAAAAGCCUAAACCAGAAACUGAAAGGAAAGGAAAUCUAUUAAUCUUCCAUUCUGAAGUACUGAAGUACAUACUGUAUCCUAGUAUUUAUCUGUUGCAUUUCAGUAAAAUAUUAAAAAAUAUGUUUAAUACUGCAGAGGACUUAGUUAUGAAAGCAAUGUCAUUAAGUCAUUGAGAGCUAUCUGUCAUUAAAAAAAAAAAAUAGAAGAAACUUCCUGAGAGGAAACGUCAUCUGCAUCAUGUUUUUAGAGAGAGUCUAUUUUUCAGAGUGAGAAGGACAAGACCAAGAAACUAGAAACAAGCUUCCCAGCAGUGGGAUCUAUAGGUGGAAAUGUGUGUGUUUAGGUAUUUACAAGCUCUAAGAUAAUCAGAUUACUUUGGAGUGAAAUUCUCAAUGCUUCACUUCGCCUCCUAGAUAUUAAGAUUUUUUUUAAAUAUUAAGAGGUAUCCUUUCUUAAUUUAUAAUAGGAUGUCAGGAUGUUCUGAUUGACUUUGGUUGUUUCCUAGGUAAGCGACACGAACCAGUUUAAAUGUAGCCUUGGCCCAGAGCUUGAUAGUGUGCUACAGCUCAGUAAUGUGCUUGAUGAGCAUUCUAGGAAAGGAUCACAGUUUAUAUAUAGCUCCAGAUAUAAUUAGCCUAUCUUUGCUUCCCUUGGAGGAGAGAGUACAGCAGCAUAAUGUUAUCUUGUCGGUUUUGUGGUGUAAGGCUUGGUCUGUUAAGGUUGUCACUGUCCAAAGUGUCAAAGAAAAAAUACUGGAAUAAUGUAAAAAUUUCCCUGUGUGUCCUAUCUUUUGUGAGUUGCGGGAAGUGUUAGGUCAGACAGCUAUUUUGAAACUUGUAUGAGGAUAUAGACUGUUGUCCCUAGGAAAAAAAUUCUUAGAGAUAUCUAUGCACAAUCUUGCCUUUCAAAAUCACCACUACCACACCUUUUGGACACUCUUAGUUUAGUUGCUGGGUUUGGUUCAGGCCCUUUAUUUUCCUUUCUUCCGUCUCUAUAUGUCUUUUGAACAAAUGUUUUUUUACUUGAGUUCAUACUUUUAAAGGACUAAAAAAGGGGAGAGAAACUUGAAGAAAUUAAAAUCAGUAGUUCUAGCUAUGUCUAUCUGCAGUUUGUUUGUCCACAUACAUGGUAAUUUGACUCUGAGAUUAAUAAUAUAAAGUGCUGCUUAUCAAAUUUUGAAAAUGCUAUUUCUUCAUUCAGAGCCACACAGACCUGGGUACUUUAGCAGAUUCCUUAGCAUCUUUAACUGAUGACAUUUGCCUUGAGUUAACCUUAACUGAGAGUUCUGCAAAUCAUCCCAUUCAGAAAAACAGUGUGUUAAAUUUACAAGCAAGUCUUACAAGGAGUCAGGAACUAGGAAAGGAAAUUGAAGUUUUAUUACAAUGUUAAGCAUGAUGGCUGAAUUUCUACUUUUUUUUUUUUAACUUACAAUAAAUCUGGUUGAUUUUUGCAUUAUAUGAAAACAUAUCACGUGGUUUCUAAAAUCUUUCUUCAAAAUCACUUUUAUCCACUUUUUUGGUUGUAAUUUCCAUAUAGUUGCUGAUCUGUAUUCUUGCUAGUGAGUAAAAACUGAUUCUUGCAAAAGGGCUUAAAUAGUACCAAAUCUCAUUUCGGUGAGCUUUAAUAAACAUGGGUUGUAUGUUGCACUUGUCAGAUGCACCUUUUAAUACAGAAUCUAAUGACUGUCAAUUAUGAUUACCUCCUCAGGAGGGUCCUGUAAAAGCACUCAGCUGAAUCCUGAAGUACUUGCCUUCGUAUUUUGAGGCUUGCAUGUGUGCUCUACUCGGUUUAAUGAUAGCGUUUCCUACUUUCAGUUCUUUUUGUAGAGAAUCAACGAUGAUCCAAUCCAAAGUUUCUUCUCGCACUUCUAGCUAUCUCUGUUUUCUGAAUACCAGCAGUAUAUUUUUAAAUCAUCUAUUUUUAUACUUUUAUUAUGAUCCACUUAUUUUGAUAAUGCAUAGGUACUGUGUAGACAAUUCAUAGCACUUUCUUAGGUAAUGCAAGUAUUAACAAGUGUACUUUAAUUCUUAACUCAAUAUAAUCAAGAAAGUAAAUCAUGUGCCAGUAAAUCAUAGGAUUGUUAAGGCUGGAAAAGAACCUCCAAGAUCAUUGAAUCCAGCCAUUACCCUAGCACCACUAUGUUCAGAACUAAACCAUGUCCCCAAGUGCCACAGUUGUUCUUUGAAAAAAAAUAGCUAAGCAUGUUUUUCUAAGUUCUUGGCAUUGGCUACACAUGUUGCAAGUAUUUCUGAGUUAUGGCUGCCGUGACACUGAUAAUGUCUUCUGUAUUAGGAAAUGUUAAUUCCUAAUUUUUAAUUAGUGCUUCAGUUUUUAAUCAGUGGAAUAAUUAUACCCUCAAUCUAGAGCUUAUCAUGGUUUAGGGAAUAUAUGUAUAUGAAAUUAAAAAAAAAUUCUGAGAAAGGAAAAUGAAUGAAGGACAGAGGGCUUGAAACAAGAUUCUUCUGUGCAAAGCCAGAAUGUGCAGAAGUAGAAUAUCCUGUUGAUUUGAUUAAAACAGAAAUUUGCAAGUGUUUUAUGCAUAUCCAAAUGUUAUACUCAUGAGUGAGAAUCAAUAUUGGUAAACUUAAGUACUUUUGAAGAUGUUUUCAUUAUUAAAUUUGAGAACAUCUCUGCUUCAGUGUGUUCUUGAAUUAUCUAAAGAUACUUGAAUUUUCAAGGACCAAGUGCUGCGUGAAAAUCAGUUUGCUUUGGGCAUUUUUUUUCUAAGCUGGAUUCUUUAAUAACCUGUAAAAUAAGUUCAGGUCAAACUUGUAGCUUUACAGCUUUUUCAAUAAAGGUAUUGCUUCUGAACCUAUGUUCAGCCCCCAACCUCCUCUCUGUUGCAGAAAUAUGGAAGGAUGGUUGUAUAGGAAAAAUCUUUUGUUCAUGUACAUGUAAUGGUGAAUUACACAUCUUAGCAAAGGAAAUGGAAGGAGAGGAUAUGGUGACUUACUGAUGAUCAAAUAUUACUGGGAUGUCUCUGGUUCUUAAAUUCAUGUAAAAGGUAGGGAAGGGUGCUACUAGAUGUGUUAUAUAUAUAUAUAUAUAUACACACAUAUUUAACUUUUUUUUUUUUUUAAAGCAACUUUAGCUGUCAGAGGAAAUAUCUGCCAGUUUACAUAGCUUUGUAGAUAAAGUUCCCUGUGGUGAUUUGGUCAGCUUGAGUAUUACAUUUAGAAAAAGUAUUUAGAUUCCAGUCUUGUAUAUGGUCUAGUUCUGAUUAUCUCAGACAUCAGUUUGAUUCAGGUACGCGUUCACUAACUUAGUGGUCAUUUAUUUCAUUCUACUGUAGGAUACAGCAAAAUCAGGACAGUUUUCUUUCACACUUCACUAAAAGAAUGUGAGGUCGCUAUUUUGUUAUUUCUCAUGGCAUGACAGUUCCUCUGUACUCGAAUGAUAAAUAACUACCAUUCUUGCUAUUUUCUGAGGUUAGAAAAGAAAAACAAAUUACCUGAUCAAGUCAUGCCUGAUCAAAAUUGGGUGAAAGGAAUAAAUACUUAGUGACUUCACAACUUAUCAGUCUUCUCAAAGGCAGCUGCUUCCCCUCAUUGUUUAAUUGAGAGUAACCAGGAAUGAGAGUGACAUCAGUGGGGUACUAUUAAGCAUCCAAUUAGCAUGAUUUUAACAUUAUGUUAUGAAAAUAAAUGAUUAGUGUUUUGGGGAGAAUUUAUGAAGAAAAUAAUUUUCAGUAGGCAAAAGGAAAAAUAUGAUAAUGGGAGGGGUAAAUUAAUAGGAUUUCAGUUAGAAUUCGUUAAAUUAAACUUUAUAGAUGUCUGUUCUAUAUAAUUUCUGAACCUACUGAAUUUAGAAACUAACAAAAAAGCUGUUGAUUUGUUCUAAUGGUUUUUGUGCAGUUCCUGAGGGUUGGGACUAUUGGGGCAGAAGGUGGUGUUGAAUGUCAAAAUCAGUAUACUUCGUGUGAUGCUCUUUCAGGUUUAUCUUAUCAUUAACAAACAAGUCUACUCAUUAAUGAUAGAAAAAGUAGGCAUUAUUUCAAAUAAAUAGAUUAAAUCUUGUAUUUUUCAUGACAACUACUUACUGUGGUAUUGGCAAGGCUCUGAAAAGGUUGACAAGUUACGUUGCUUCAUCUAAUUCGAAUAAAUUUCUUGAGCUAAGUAUUCAAACCUCUGUGGACUUCAUGUUGUCGGUUUUGGUGUAAGUUUUUUUUCUUCAGUCCAGUUUUUCUUUAUUUUAGAUUUUCCUUUCUUUCUUCUGCACGUGAAUUCCUUCCAUAUGAAUUUUAGUGUCUCAUUACUGUUGGAAUUCUAAAAGGACGAAAGCCCAGGGAUCCCGACGGGGGGAGGAAUGCAGUCCAAAACCAGUGUGGUUGAUAAGCGCAAAACUCCCGGUUUAUUAGCAAUCCAAAACCACUUAUAUAGUAUACCAGCUUGUUAACUCCUAAGUGGCUUAAAGCUUAUCACAGCACAUUUCUAUCUCUACAUAAUUGGACCUACAUUGGCAAGCCUCCAUAGUCAUGUUAUGAUUAAAAGAAUUCGGUGUUCACUCCUCCUGCUCCCUGGUUAGCACACCUUAUCAGGACAGCUGCAUCGUUUCAAACUCCCUCUUUAUUCCCAGGCUUGUUUCUCACACCAGCGCUUUCUCAUGCAGGCAGUUUCUCACACACAGGCCUUUUGCUUCUAGGCCUAUUGCUUGUACAGUUUUUCUAUAGAUCCCAUAAUUCUAUCAAUAAUCCAUGCCCCUGAUCCUUUAAUAACUGCAAAACAUUACCAGUUGUAGGGUAGUCAGGGAAAGCCUGACAGCAGAACAGUUUCUUGUAAGAAAAGGAGACUCCUUAAGUAUUUAAAUAAUGGUUUCCUCUGUCUCUUGCUCAAAUGCAAGGAUGUACAGUACUAGAAAUAAGUGGGAUUGUACCCUUCUUAAAAACAUACUGUGUAGCUGGAGACUUCAAAAUAAAUUUGAACAUUGGGGGGGGGGGGGGGGGGGAGAUAAAACACUUCUCCUGUUAACUAUGUGUUAAAGUCAUUAUUCUGCAGUGACAAGAGCUGAGGGUGACUUUUGGGGGUGGUCCUGUGCAAGGCCAGGAGCUGGAAUCGCUGAUCCUCAUGGAUCCCUUGAAACUCAGCUGAUUCUGUGAUUCUGUAUUCUUUUAGUUUGCCUUUUUUUUAUUUGGUAACCUGACAGGCUGCUCCUCUUUUCUCUUUCAAGUUAAGUACUAUGUCUAUUCAAUACAGAACAGAAAAUAAAGAUUAGUAGAUAGCUAAUACUUCAAAUAAAUGCUUCUAGGUCAAUAUUGGGAUGAAGUUGGUUUUUUGUUACAGGUUACAGAUCUAUAACUAAGUAAUUGACAAAUCUAUUCCCUCCUAAGUUCAGAGUUUAGGUACACCUUUUAAAUCUGUAUUUCAGAAAAAUUUGUGUUUUCCUUGGUCAAUUAAGUGCGAAGUAUGACUGUCAUCUUACUGGUGCUUGUGAUUUCCUUUGAUGGAUUUUGCUUCUUUUUUUUUAAUUUAAAAUAGUUUAUAAAAUUACUUUUAGAGAGUGAAAUAAUACGGCCUAUAUUUUAUCCUGUUGUCAAUCCAAGGUUUUCUAACUUAAAGUAAAAAAAAGAGAAAUUGAUAAUUAUACUGAUUUGCAUUUCCUACCUUUUUUCACACCAUAAUUGCUUGAGCUUAAAUCAGGCUUAUAGAUUCAUAAUUUGCAUAGUAUCAUAUUAGCCUCCUUCAUUGUGUUUGAUAGUUCUCUGAAGGUGUCCUUCAUUACCAUGGAAAUCGUAACAUAGUCUGUUUCAAGCUAAUGUCUGUAUAUAACAUAAAAUUUGGUUCCUUGAGGUUUAAAUUGCUCAUACAAUUCAUAUUGGAUGUCAAUUCAUAUUUGUCCAGUGUACAUGGAAUGCUAAUUAUAACAAUAUUAAAAAUAGUCUGUUUGUACCUCUGGAACCUAGAGGCUGAGAACACCUAGAGUGGGUUUAUGUACGAAGUGUUUGACAACCAGGAUCUGAAUCAUUAAUUAACAGAUUAAAAAAAAUAUUAGCCUUUGCACCUAUUAGCGUGAAGUUGAUAAUAAAUUCCUAGCUCCUGAGUAGAGUGCAUUUGUAUUUUCUGUUCAGCUGUUGAAACCCUGAGGACAAUUAAUUGGUUUAUAUAUUCCUUGAUAGUGUGAUAUGCCAACUUUGGUGGGCUGCAGGCAGUGCAUAUGAAUUGUGUAUGAACUGAGUGCAACAAAAAGGAAGUGCAGAAAACCUGCUUAAUGUCGCUGUUAUCCCUAGGGAUGGCGCUAAUCAUGACACGAAUUCAGGUCCAGGAUGAACGGAAUUCUUUAAUUAAUUACCGUUUAUAUAACUUGGUUCGCAGUAAAGAAAUGACAUCAUUGGGUGCUUGACCAUACACAUCCCAGAGUGAUUGGCUGGAUGCUACAACGCCUAUUUCAAAAUAUUUUCUUCAGUGAACCAAAACAAUACCCACCGCAUUCUCACAACACCCUGCACCUGCAAAUAGUUUACAAAAUAGCAAACUCUCAGCUUAGUUUGCGUGAGAGCGGAGACUUUCGCAGAAGACUAUAAAAGGUGGAAAAUUUCUCUGCUACCUUUUUAAGCAUCCUUAGCUUAACACAAUACUAGAUAACCAGUUAGUGUUUAAAAAUAUCUUUUUAACUGACAGGAGUAUUGCACUUGGGAUUGUAAAAAUAAAAUGGACAAUACUUGCUAAAAGAGACCCAGACAUUUUUUUUAUUUUUUAAAUGAGGUUUCAUUUUCCUGUUUCUUCCAUGAUGUUUUUAUCGAGGAUUUGCCUGGGUACUUACAAUCUGCUCCACUGGUAUAUAAAAGAGUAGUUGCAAAAAAGGCCCCCAGGCUUCAGGGUUCUACUUUCUGUACGUAUCGUCCUCACAUGUACUUGAAAUAUGAUGCCUUUCCAACCGUUCUCCAGUUUUCAACUUUCAGAGAAAGCAUUUGAGAAAAAGAGGCUAAGAAAGCACUGUGGGUGGACUUAAUUGGCACAAGCUGCUUCACUGGCUUUGGAUUACUAUGGAGGUCCUGCAAGAAUCCUUUGCAUGAGGGAUGAGAUAGUUGUACUCCUACCAUGACGAAUGCUUAAUUCUCUAUGAAGUGUGAGCCACAUUAGCAAGAACUGCAGUGUUACCUCUUGAAGUAAAAAUCUGUGUGCCUUCAGAAGAAUAUCUAUUGAGUGCAGCAUAUAGUUUUCUUUGGAAAAUACCUAGUGAUGCAACACGACAGGGUAUUGCAUUCAUGCCUGCUUUGUGCAGUACUAACAAUAGUGAUGUGAAAAACGAGGUUCACUCUCCUGCUAGGAUUCAAAUGUUUAAUAAAGGACAAUAAAGGACGAAGAUAAUAAAGCAAAAUUCACAGCGUUGGGUGCUUUGGCACUCAACCAAGAGCACACCUGUUAUUUUGGAGACACCCUUUAUAUACCUGUCCUAUUGCAUCAGCCGAAUGCAUACUCAUAAUCAAUUAUGCAUAUUCGAACUUUUCCUUAAACUAGUUUACAUGUUCCAGGAACUGUUUAGCAUGGCUCCUCCUUGGAUCUGCCUUUUUAGAGCAUGCGCAUUUCUUGGCUGUGGUUUUAGUCAGUUUUUAUUAUCACCCCCAGAGUGGGCUUUGGUCGAUGGUUUCUGCAGACGGUAGUUGCUGAUAGUUGGUAUGUCAAUAGCAGGGGUCUUCAACACACGUUGGUUGGUUGUUAUCUAACCAAGCAGACAGUUCAACUACCACAAGCAUAACUAUAUUAGCUAUUUCACUAUUAUGUCUAAGUUCAGUUAAUGACAGAAAUAAAGGCCUUAGUUAUUGUUACAAAACUACAUCUUUAUAACAAAGCUACUUUAACAUUAUGCAUAUAGCAUCUAUUUGUAGAAAGCCAAUGCUAUAAUAUGUAUCUAUCACAAUAACAAAGCUACUUUAACACCAUUCAUUUUAACAUUUGCAGAAAGCCAAUAUUAUAACAUUUAUCUAUCACAGUGAGAAUGGCUUUAGUAGCAAGCCUAGUUCAGCUUUAAAUAGUUAGAAAUUUAUUGUUGACCCUUUAAGAAAAGACACUGCAUACAUCCAUUAUCCUAAAACUAAGUUUAACAGGCUGCGUAAGAAAAGGGAAAUGCUGUCAUAUUUUGGUUUCAGAAAGUCAAAUGUAUAGUUGCUAGAGGAAGGCACAUUUCUCAUGACUGUUUCAUAUCAAGAAGGACUAUGAGGAAAAAAGUGAAUACUAAAACUAUUACUGCCUUUUCGUCUUCCGUUCAUAAAAUUUAUCGCAAUAGAAGUGUAAUCAUAAUAAUUCCAAAUUUUUAUUCUUAAUACAGACAAAAGAGAGUAAGUUAAGCAGCAAUCACUGAGUUGUGUAAUGACUAUGUAAUUUUUGGUGACUUUGCCACUAGUUUCAUAAUAUGAACAGUGAGUGUUACGCUACAAAACAUUUGGAUCUGUUUCACUCAAGUAGAUUUCAAAAGGUUCUGUCCUUUGAAGUCUACAAGAUGUGUACAUAAAAUUCAGUUUGUUUAAUUUUCUUAUUGGACAGUGUGUAACUGAAAAAAUGCACUGUUUUUAUAUAAUUUCUGUAAAAUUCCAUUAAAAUAUUUAGAAUAUUUAUUACUCUUAAUGUGUUUAAUUAUCUGGGAUUUUACUGAUGAGAGUGCAAGAUCUUGACUGGUUUCAAAGAGUUUUCAUUAUGAUUUCCACAAAAUGUUUAUUAGGAUGGUGCAAUGAUCAACAAACUUUGACUUUAAAACCUGACUUGUGUUAUUAGCAACCAGUUUUAAUACUAAGUGAAACAAAAAGACAGAUAGUUGUAUAGCUCCUAACGUACCUUCCAGUGUGGUGAAUGUCAACCACAUUGUUGACAUAAUUGUUAAGUUGGCCUCUUUCCUGUAAAUAAUGUACUGCAACUCCGUUUCCUAUUUUCAUAUUUGCAGUCUUUGAAACCCUGACAUAUGGUUAAGGGUGUACUGCAUGCAAAUAAUCUCUGUCCAAGGAACAGUCCUACUGGUCUGACAUGGUCUUCCUCCCUGUUUUGCUGCUGUUGUGCCUCAGUUAUUUGAUCUUAAUGUGAGUUUUACUGAUUGAACUGCAUUUUAUAAAUAGACAAGCAUGAUGAUUGCUUCCUGAAAACACGUAUAUUGGUUAAGUCUUGCAGCAAGAACAGGGAACAUAAGUGUCCUGGGUUGCAGUGUAUUCUAUUACCAUCCCCAUCAGCUGUUGAAAUCAGGUGGGGCAGUGUUUCCUUGCCU